rnacentral:rRNA from 1 species
CCCUUCAGAGGGGGACAACAGUUGGAAACGACUGCUAAUACCGCAUACGAUCUGACCUCGGCAUCGAGGAUGGAUGAAAGGUGGCCUCUAUUUAUAAGCUAUCACUGAAGGAGGGGAUUGCGUCUGAUUAGCUAGUUGGAGGGGUAACGGCCCACCAAGGCGAUGAUCAGUAGCCGGUCUGAGAGGAUGAACGGCCACAUUGGGACUGAGACACGGCCCAGACUCCUACGGGAGGCAGCAUG